rnacentral:lncRNA from 1 species
GGAACCUCCCCUUGCAGUAAUGAAAGAAAUCACUGACACUAUUUCAAAUUCAUAGUUUCUUCUGAAGGUUUAAAGAAGAUGAAAACAACAAAGAGCAUCGACAACGUGAAAGACCCUGAGAUCAUUGGACACUAGUUGAUGGCUGUUGGAGGCCUACUGAGAAGAGGAAUGAGAUCUGCUUUCACCAUGAAGUACUUCCCUAGAAGUCAGCCAUGACACCCCAAAAGGUAUCUGAGCUGCUGAAGGCUAUCUUUGAGACAGGACCAAAAUGGGCUGCAGUGAAAGCAGAAGAACAGGAGAUGUAAUAAUGAAGAUAUGGACAAUAAAUCAAGAAAAUGGACUUGCUGUGACAUACAGAAAUACUUUGCUGGUGCUGAAUGUAAAAAUGACUUCUUUCUUUCAAACACGUAACAUCUACCUCUCAGAGAUAAACUGAGAUGCACAGAACCUGUUCUCAGCUACCACCUAGAUGUGUCCUGCUCUUCAUUUCUGCUGAGGUCAGCAUGCUUUACAUGCAAGAACAAGCACAGGAGUCAACCCAAACUGCUUGUAGAGAGGUCUUGGACCUAGGAGUCCUAGCACAGUCCAUAUAGGUGUGAGUCAAAUAUCACAUACAACUAUCUAAUUUUUCUUGACAGCUUCUUGUACAUGAAACAAGCAGAAGUGCUCUGGAGGUUUCUCCCAAUGACAUUGCUAUGGGGAGAAUGCAUGAAGUAUUGCAUAGUGUGGUUGGGAUGGGAGGUUGACCAUAGGCAUACCUUAACAGGGCUUUAUGGUCAGUGCAUUGGAACUCAAGCUGCAGAACAGAAAUCUGCAUCAUUCAAGGCAGCAAAAGAC